AAAUCUCGCGUCGCAUCUUCCGUUCCUGCGCAGUUUAUGUUUCAUUGUCUACGCAUGCGUACCCUUUCACUGGCGUAUAUAGUAUCCAUGUUUGGGGAGCCCUUCUUUCUUUUAUUUGUUUUUUAUAGCUAUAUAUACUAUUAUUCUACUGUUUUAUGUCCUCUAGAAUUUUUAUUACACACCCCCUCUAAUUUUAAACAUUUUCUAGUAUUUCCUGCCAGUCUAGCUACUUUUUCUAUUUUUCUCCUAGGUUGCGGGUGCCUGUGAGCCUAACUACUUUACUGUUUUUCGUUUGCGCAUUCCGCUUGCGUCUACUAGGCUCACUUGCGCCCCCAACUUCCUUCUUUUACGGUAUUCCUUCGCGUGCUAGUCUGAUCGUGUUACUUCUUGUCUAUUAAUUAAUUAAUUUAAUAGUUUUUUCACUUACCUUAUAGUUUCUGUUUAUCCUUGCUUUAAUCUAAGUUGCCCGGUGUUGUGUGUAGUGGUGUCUUGUGUAUUGUGUAUACCGGGGGUUCCUUGUUUGUGAUUUUUAUAAUGAAUUGCAGUACUAUUGGUCUGGAGUUAUCGUCUUUAAUAAAGACACCAACGGUCGCAGUCAAACAAAAAUGUCCCGAAACAUCCAUGUCCUGUCAAAGUCUGCGUCAAAUGGAAGUCGAGGUAUUCAGGGCCCCACGUAAUCCAAUCCUUAAUAAUUGGGAUCAAUCUGUACGUCCACCUACCAUUACUGGACAAAUCCCAGGAGUUCCAAUGGCACCUGCCCCGUCAAGACACAGAGGGCAUCGAAGGAUACCGUGCGCCAGUUCCCCAGAUUGGGGCCGCAUACAUUAUUACGGACUCAAUAACCUUGUAGUAAAGUUUUCUGGUGAGCAAAAUUGCCUCUGUUUUAUGGUGUGCAAGCUCGAGUCCUUCGCCGGUAUACCAAACCGACAUCUUCUUCAGAGUGGACUCAGCCAAUCGGAUCAACUUGCAGCUCAUCAUACAGGAUGUUCCACAACAGAGGCCCAAUCACGGAGCCCUGGGGAACCCCCCCGAAAACCUGAAAGCACAUGGCGUCCAAGGUGGAAAGGCCCUUUCGGAAUCCAAAUUGGUUUUGGGCGAAGUCACAAUGGCUUACUGUCAAUUUCCUGUUCAUUACAAUGUUUUUUCCUCGCUCUAAUGUAUCGCCGCCUGGCAACCGAAGCCUCCUUACGCUGUUUGGCAACCUCUUCAUUCCACCAGGGUGCAGGAGGGCCCUUUCUGCGGCUAAUGGUCUUCAGCACCGUACUUUUCUUGAUGAUUUUAUUCAAAUCUGUAAUAAAAUCAUCAACGUCCGCGAUGGAGUUGCGUCUGGUAAGUAUCCCCUGCCUUUCAUUACUAUAUUUUUUUAGAUAUAGGGUGAGGAAUCUCUUCUCGUCUAAUUUGCCUCUUUUUAGGUCAAGAAUCGCAGCGCCUGUUGUCACCUUCGCCUUGCCAGGGGCGCUUAUAACAUGUAACAAGUAUCUGUGAUCGGAAGCCGAAAAAAUGUCCAAAACCUCAGAGUCAGCUAUGAGCUUUACCACCUGUUUACUACAAAGCAUUAUAUCGAUCUUCGAUCCCCCACCACGGUCGCAGGCUUCCACCGCCGUUGUCAGUGUCACCAGGAAGUAUUCGAAUUCCUGGAGGGGCACAUUUGGGGAGGCAUAUACGCUGAAAAUAAACAAUCC